CUACGUAACGACUAACGACACGGUUUCCUCCCUCUCCACAACACCGCCUUCUUUCAGUAGCAAGCUUUCUUCCCUCUCCGUAGCAAGGAAGAGCGAAGCCUGAGAUAUCGAGUUCCUCCUCCCGAUUCUGUACUUCGAAGGUUUGGAUGCAGCUUUUCUUGCAGUGGAUUGAUGUCUCAUUUGAUUCUAAUUUCUCCCUGUUCUCUAACGCCUUUUUUUGGGUUGUAAUCUUGUUUGUUAAGGUUUUUGUAAUCACUCACUACAAUGGAUUCAUCAUCUCCGAACCAUCUAGAGUUCGAUUAUUUGUUUAAGCUGUUGUUUAUAGGCGAUUCUAGCAUUGUUAAAAGCCGCCAUCUUCUCAGAUUCACUUCGGACUCCUUCGAAGAUAUUUUCCCUACAAUUGGUGUUGAUUUUAUAGUAAAGAUUGUCAACAUUGGGGGUAAAAGGUUGAAGCUUGCAGUCUAGUCUAGGAUAUAGCAAGCUUGUCGAGAAACAAAAUAGAGUUGGAGGAACCGGAUGUAGUGUCAACAAAAGGAAGAUGGCUUGAUAUAUGCUUUUCUAAACAAAAUGGAGUUGGAGGAACUGUGCAUUUGUAAAUACUUUUAGCUAGUUUGGGCUACUUUUGGAAUCAAUACUUUACAUUAAUAUUGCAUUUGUAAAUUUGACACAAAUGAUUAUUAGAUGAAUAAAAAUUUAGUGACAUGUGAUGAAUGAAUUGUGAUGAUGUGAUAAAUUGUAAUGAAUUGUGAUGAU